UACAGAGGUCUCAAGCGUUGUUCGGAUUCAUUGGGCGUAAAGGGUGCGUAGGCGGCGCGGUAAGUCGGGUGUGAAAUCUCGGGGCUUAACUCCGAAACUGCAUUCGAUACUGCCGUGCUUGAGGACUGGAGAGGAGACUGGAAUUUACGGUGUAGCAGUGAAAUGCGUAGAUAUCGUAAGGAAGACCAGUGGCGAAGGCGGGUCUCUGGACAGUUCCUGACGCUGAGGCACGAAGGUCAGGGGAGCAAACGGG
rnacentral:rRNA from 1 species